rfam:Actinoalloteichus hoggarensis strain DSM 45943 chromosome, complete genome.
CUUCAACGACCCCAACCACAACGGCCGACCCGCCGGCCGAUCCCGCCCGUACGUCGCCAACAAGGCCUGCGCCUC